rnacentral:rRNA from 1 species
UGGAUGGACCUGCGGCGUAUUAACCAGUUGGCGGGGUAACGGCCCACCAAAGCGAUGAUACGUAGCCGGCCUGAGAGGGUAGACGGCCACAUUGGGACUGAAACACGGCCCAAACUCCUACGGGAGGCAGCAGUAGGGAAUUUUCGUCAAUGGGGGGAACCCUGAACGAACAAUGCCGCGUGAGUGAAGAAGGCCUUCGGGUCGUAAAGCUCUGUUGUAAGAAAAAAACGGUAAUGAUAGGGAAUGAUCAUUAAGUGAUGGUAUCUUACGAGGAAGCCACGGCUAACUACGUGCCAGCAGCCGCGGUAAUACGUAGGUGGCAAGCGUUAUCCGGAAUGAUUGGGCGUAAAGGGUGCGCAGGCGGAUGUAUAAGUCUGAAGUAAAAGCCAUCGGCUCAACCGAUGUAAGCUUUGGAAACUGUAGAUCUAGAGUGCAGGAGAGGACAGUGGAAUUCCAUGUGUAGCGGUAAAAUGCGUAGAUAUAUGGAGGAACACCAGUGGCGAAGGCGGCUGUCUGGCCUGUAACUGACGCUGAGGCACGAAAGCGUGGGGAGCAAAUAGGAUUAGAUACCCUAGUAGUCCACGCUGUAAACGAUGAGAACUAAGUGUUGGAGAGAUUCAGUGCUGCAGUUAACGCAAUAAGUUCUCCGCCUGGGGAGUAUGCACGCAAGUGUGAAACUCAAAGGAAUUGACGGGGGCCCGCACAAGCGGUGGAGUAUGUGGUUUAAUUCGAAGCAACGCGAAGAACCUUACCAGGCCUUGACAUGGCGUUAAAUGCCCUAGAGAUAGGGAGAUAGAAAUAAUGCACACAGGUGGUGCAUGGUUGUCGUCAGCUCGUGUCGUGAGAUGUUGGGUUAAGUCCCGCAACGAGCGCAACCCUUGUCGCAUGUUACCAGCAGUAAGAUGGGGACUCAUGCGAGACUGCCGGUGAUAAACCGGAGGAAGGCGGGGAUGACGUCAAAUCAUCAUGCCCCUUAUGGCCUGGGCGACACACGUACUACAAUGGCGACUACAGAGGGAAGCGAGACAGUGAUGUUAAGCGGACCCCAAAAAGGUCGUCCCAGUUCGGAUUGAAGUCUGCAACUCGACUUCAUGAAGCCGGAAUCGCUAGUAAUCGCAGAUCAGCAUGCUGCGGUGAAUACGUUCUCGGGCCUUGUACACACCGCCCGUCAAACCAUGGGAGUCGGUAAUGCCCGAAGCCGGUGGC